CGUCAGAGGAAAGCUCUGAUUCCUCCAACCAUUCGCUACUCAUGACUGAGAAAAGCUCUCUCAAUUGAUAUUCACUUGGUAAAUAAAUGCUAAAUUGACCGUUUUGGGGUUUGUUAAUAGAAUGGUAGUUUGAAAUAUUUCCAAAAUCGGCAAAAAGAUCGGAUUCUAUAUCCAGCAUGAAGUCCGGUAGUGGAAUUUCUUCCUCUUGAGGCUCAGAACUUGGGAUAGCUAUAGCUUUGAUUCUGUAGAAGAGGUAUGAUCUCCAGGGGCCAGGGGGCCUUGCUUAUAUAGUCUUUUCAGUUGAAUCUGGGCCGUCGGAUCAAACCGACAUUAAUCGCACGGUUUUCCUUGAUCCUUUAGGUAGGAUCAAACCGACAUUAAUCGCCCUAUCCCUGAGUCCUCUCGGCCUUCGCUUCGUUCCCGUGGCUUCUGGAGUCUUCUAGAUGAUAGAAAAUUGCACUGCACGUUAAUAUCUCUAUGUAAACCCGACGUGUGGGCCUUUCUUCCGUAUUUCCUGAUAACCCCCUGCAGAAAUAGACAAACACCAAAACUCGUGGAAUUCUGUCAGAUAAAACCCUAAGUCUGGGUGUUGAUUGCAUUUAGAUCCUUUUCCAUGAUUAGUUGAUGGUUAAAUGUGAGCAUUAAGGACCGUCAACAAGCUCCCCCAAGCUUAACCUUUGCUCGUCCCUGAGCAAAGAUGAACUCAAGAGUUUCUGCAGUGGUUUCUUGCUUUAAAGGUACACAUGCGUUCAAACAAGAUCUCAUCUCUGGGUUAGGGUAAACUGUUAAGAUUUAAACUUACUCAUUUUACCUUCGACCAUGGGGCUUGUAACCGUCACUUGUGUCUUGAGCAGUUAAAAGAUAGAACGGUCUAGUCAGGCGCCAUGUCUCUUGUUCUUCGAUUAACUAUAGCUCUAGAGUUUUUUGCAGAUUUUCAAAUAAAACUCAGAGAUUCCUUGUAUGACUCUCUCUAGUCUCUCUUUUGUGGUAUUUCUGGAUCCUUACCAAGGCAGUGAUGGUAUAUGCCUUCUCUCAAAAUAUGUAGUAUUUGUGGUAUGAAGCAUAGUGACAUUGUCUUCUGUCUCAUCCUACUCUAAUAAGGUUUUGAUAUCUGGAGCUCAUAGGUGGGAGACAGCUAAUACAUACUUACAAGACAUUUAUUACAUAGUCAAACCAUGGAUCUAGAAGAACAAGUCAAUAAGUCAAAUCAAGAUGUGCAUGUGUGGCGAAUGAAUGAUGUAUGGUGAUAACAAUGGUGAUAUAAUGGUGAAAGUCUAAUUCUACUUUUGCUCUUUUGAGGGGAUACAUACCAUUCUUGCUCUUUUGAAACUUUUUGAGGAGAAUGAGAUGCUCUAUAUUUUCUUUUUUUUCUCUCAGGUGGGUAUCUUGUACCCCUAAUUCUACUGUCGGACACUUGUCCAAUUUUACCUCUCGUCUCACUUUUUCUUUUCUUCGAGGUUUCGGGCACUUGCCCCUUUUUAUUUCCUCGUAUUCUUUCUCUUUUUUUUUCUCUCUUUCUUUAGAACACUCAUCUCCUGAAAUAAUAUAGCAAGUGGUAGUAACAAGAUAACUUGAGCAUUUAUUUCACAGGGGAAAAACAGAAAUAUUUUUGGCUAUUCUCUCCCGGAUUAGGAGUAAAAUAUUUUUGGGUGGUUCUGGAGAUGGAAAUGGAUGGAUAUAUGUGGAUGCGUACUUCCGAAGUAGAAGUAGCAUGUAUGAGUGAACGUGCAAGUGAAUCUUGAUUUAACCACAUGACAAGCUCCUAAGGGUCUACACAGCUUGACCACACUCAAUGCUCAUAAGCAGUAAAGUAAAUGUGUGGCUCAAAGUUUAGCAAGCAUGUAUAUAUGGCUAUGGUAGGAAUUUAAACUCUCAUCAUACAGGAACUCAUCAUGCAACAUUUUAACGAUUUUCAAAGAUAAAAUUCUCCAGAAUUCUAGCAUCUCUAGGAACAGAUAAACAGCAGCUCAACCUUCCCAUAUUAUAUCCGUUAACGACUUAGACUUUAGAUCAAGUACUCUUCCCACAAGUUCAGGAUUAGAGCAAAUCUUAAUAAAUAACAGUCAUGCCUAAACUUGAGAGAGAUUUCAAUUUUGAGAACUAGUCAGGGCAGAGCAACUAUUCAUCAUUUCCAUGUGAGAGCUUAUCAUGAGGGUUCAUAGCAAACUUUAUUUAUUUAUCUAUUUAGCAAACUAAGCAAAGAUAUAUAUAUAUAUAAGCAUAUUAGAGUAAAGUAUAAACGUGCAUAAAAUACUUAGCUGGAUAAAUGGAGGCGCUCUCCUCCAAGCUGGAUUUUGAUGCAAUUUCUUCUGAUGUAGCUAGCAGGUGCUGGAGGUGUAUUUGAAUGUCGGCAGCACUGUGACAGCGAUUAGGAUAUCCUCCGUCUGCUAGACUUCUUUGAUCCUUGAAUUCUGUGGAGCUCAAAUAGACAACAAAGCUUUGUGGAACUAGUUAAGUGUUAGCAUAAAUAUUUAGCCUUUAUCAUGUUGAGUCUCCUCAAUAAAUGUUACUCUCUUUAGUAGGAUCAUAAAUUUAUUUUUAUAUUUUUAUUUUUAUAGGACAGGAAUAUAUUUAUUUUAUUUUUGUGCCACCACAGUGAAUGUACUUAUGGGUUUUAUGCCAUGAGCAUACUCACAUGGGGCUUACUAUUUUUAACAUUUUUAUUUUCUUUUCAAGAUGAUAUAAACCUGAUUAACUAAGCAAACUAUUUUAAAAUAAUUGAGAGGAAAAGAUAACUACCAAUUUUACCUCUUGGCAAGGCGUUCGGUGUUUUUAAGUCCUCCGAAUGGGACUCUCCGUUUUCUCAGUCGUCCUAGGAUUCGCUGGAUGGCGUAGUCGGUGGUUCCGGUAGCGCCUGGUCUUCAUGUAUAACUAUCUUCUCUCUCCACACCUGACUCGGUGCUAUGGUCUCCUUAGGACAGUUCUGUUCAAGUUGUAUGUCUUCAGGCCUUACAACUUCUCCUUCGUAGUUUGCCCAUCCGUCCUUGAUGAUUUGCCACCUCUGGUUACGGCUGCGUCGUCUUCUUCUUGUCCUGAUCUGCUUAGAGUCUUCAACUAUAUAGUUAGGGUCAGUAAAAUAGCGGCGUACCUUCUUAGAGGGGAAAUGUAUGUGGACUUCUCCGAUUCCAAUGUAGAUGAUUGCUUUAACUGUGCUGAGGAACGGUCUUCCAAGGAUGAUGGGUGGAUCGUACACGUCUUCUCCCAUGUCAAUAACCUUCAACCUUUAGGAUUGCCUGAUCUGCCAUCUGGAGCUAAAUGUAUGUCGAUUUUAGGGGCAUGGUUCCAAACAGGAGCUGAUAGGUGACUGUGGCCAUUAUGUUGAUGACUGACCCGGUGUCACAAGGGUCUUCUGGAAGUUGUAUCCACUAAUGGAGCACUGGAUGCUUCGGAUACCUGGGUCAUCCUUUUUGGUCAGAAACAGUGACUUAAGUCGACGAUCUUGACCUCCUUGAACUGCAGUGACCAUCUUAGCUGACUCGGUCCACAUUUGCUUGUUUCUAUUCCUCCUGUUGGUCCCCUUUCUUGGUUCGUGUUGGGAUUGCUCUGAGACUUGUGUAGUCUUGUUCUUAAAGGAAAACGUCUCCUUCCUCCCCUUGAUGUAGAAACUGAUCUUGGCAGCACUAGCGUAGAUGACAGUUCUUGAGGUAUUUAGGAAUGGCCUCCCCUGGGCAUAAUGUUGAGGCUGGAGCCAAAGUCGCAGAGUGCUUCUAGGAAGUCCACCAUGCCGAUGGAGAUCGCGAUGACGGGGCGUCCUGGGUUGUCUCUCUUGACCAGCAGAAGGUCAGUAAUUACUUCCACAAUGGGGUUACUCCAGUAGUUAGGUCCUCAAGCAUCUCAGGGUAGUGAUUGCCCGAGUGUCCAGUAUCUCCAGUGUGUUUGUGCUCGUAGAUCUAGGUUCUUCACUUGGUGGAGUCUGGGAGAUGUAAAACUCUUUCAUAUUUUGCUCGAAGUGUACCUGCUCAUAGAGACAAGGCAGAGAUCAAGUGCAUGGGCCCUGUUGGUGGAAAACACGAACAGAACCAAAAGUGUAUUUGUUCUUCUCUAACCUUAAGCAUAGUGAGCAAGACAAAGUUGAUGGAUGAUAAGCUCAUGAGUGUAGUACUUAUAAUAUUUGUCAGAUCAGAUCGCUCAACCUAAUGGAAAGAUAAUCUAUCUAUAUAUAUGUCUUUUUCUUUAUAUCUUCCCAAAGAUUAAAUGUGCAACAUUUUAGCUCAUAUGACUACGAGUGUGGGGAUCAAAGAUUAAGGGACUAAACAUGCUGAAACAGUUAGGUUGGUUAAUUUGGAGUUAUAAAUCAUACAUGUUUGUCUCUUUAUUUAUGUGAACGCCAGAACCAAGGAGAAGCUUAUAAAAGUGAUAAUCAGAUAUCUUAAGAUGUUACCUUAAUUGAAGAGUGAUGGUACAGUGUCACCUUGUGGAAGCUUUCCUUUCUUAGCGGUUGUUCAUCUUGGUUAUGUACUUUGUCUCCUUCCAUGGAUCAUCUCUCUAUGACGAAUGAGCUAUGUCCUUCUUGUGCAAUUUGUUAAACUUCAUGUGUCUCUCUCUUCAUCUCCGAUGUGAGUUCAUCUCAGGACUUCCCAGGUUGAUAGUGAAAGCUUUCCUGCAGGGGUUAGUCCAACAAAAUAUCCAAUAUCUACUAUAGCAUACUAUCAGCUCAAAAAUCAACCUAGACACAGUAUUUUAACCUAAGCACCAUGCUUAAUUUAAAAUCCCUUGGAAGUAAGAUCAUCAUUCCUAAACUAAGCACCAUGCUUAUUUAAGAGAUAAAUGAAACUACUCCAGACCUAAAGCAAAUAAAGGUAGCAUGAAAGCAUUUAUAGACAUCUACUCAAGUGGAGAUGAAGUAGUGUGAUUAGUAUUUAACAAAUUGAGCAUGUCUCAAAGGUAGGGACAACCAACAUAGCAACAUGGCAAAGGAUGUUUUUAUGUAAAGUACUCCCCCAAGCUUGAAUUUUGCAAAAUUCAAGUUUGGAUGAAUUUAAUUCAAUGUUGUAUGAUGAUUGGUUGGAUAUACCUUGUGCUUGUCAUUCAUCUAAUCUUCUUGCUCCAAUCCUAGAAAGGUUAGUGACAAGAAUACCCGAAGGAAUAUUUUUACAAUUAUCCUUAUAUGCUCAAUACACAAAGUAAUGUUGCAAAUAAUUAAAAGCUCAUGUUACAAUCUGAUCAGUGCUUGUUUUAGGACACUAAGCUUGUCCUUGGGAAACCAUCAAUUUAUGUCAGUGAAGUGGUUUCCCCUCCAACGCUGACCUAUAUCAAGAUCAACUCAACGAGAUCUACAAUAUUUAAUAUAGACAUAUGCAUCGACAACCGCCCUUUUAAAGUUUUUAUAAAUAGAAAGGAAGAGGGGGUUGGAGAUCUCGAAUCUGGUGAUGUUGGAAAAACCAAUGGAUUGGAAAGAUGUUGCAUAUGAGCAUGGAGCAAAUGAAGUGGCUAUGAAAUAAUUUCCAUGCUCAUUAAUGCUUAGAGUGAAAUCCAUGUGGUAUGGUGAAAAUGAUAAGGUGAGUGUGGUAAAAAAGGAAAAGAAAAAGGAUACACGGACGACUUUGUUCGAAACUAGCACAGCUACCGUUCCCCGGCAACGGCGCGAGAAAGGUUGUUGGGUAUUUUAAACGCAAACAGAAAAAUCCGCAAGCGCACGGAUACCGAUGUAGCUUUCACCCGGGAGUAUUCCAGAGUAUCGAUUUUCCACAGAGAACGCGAGUGUACUAAUUAAGAUCCAAGAUCACCCAAGGAUAACUAUAUAAUUAUUUUUGGUGGGAAGAGAGGAAGUUUCCUGAGAGUUCUCUAGUUGAUCUAAGAGUCAAGAAUUACUUCAAGAUUAUCUAUUUCGGGACAUCAGAACACUAACCACAGAAAGAGAUGAGAAGGGGGCUAGGAAGCUCCGACUACGGUCCUAUAAACACCGAUCCGAACGAGGUGGAAUACGUCGACCGUUAGGGCUGUCACUACCCUAAGGCUACCACAACAAUCCGCAGGAUUGGGUGCAAUUCCAAGUACUCGCAAGACUAAACACCACGUCUAAUCUAUAAUUACUACUCUAGCGUUAUAAAGACUAGAGCACUUGAUGCAAGCGGGAAUCCAAUAAAUAACUUGAAUGUAAAUAAAAGUAAUUAAAGAACUCAGGAAUUAUGAAUUGAAGAACCUGGAGAACGAUGAAGAACGAACCAGUUGCUGCAAAAGUACAAUGUUGAGGAAGAUCCGACAGAUCCGGCUCCUCCUCCGCUCUCCUCUUCUCUCUCCCUAUUUUCUAGAUUACAACUAGAACUAACUAGAACUAGAACUAGAACUAGAUGAACUAGAACUAGAUCUAGAUGAACUAGAGGUAGAACUAGAAGAACUAGAGGGAUCCUCUCUACUUGGAUGAAGAAUUCAAACCCUAGCUUUGAUUCUGUAGAAGAGGUAUGAUCUCCAGGGGCCAGGGGGCCUUGCUUAUAUAGUCUUUUCAGUUGAACCUGGGCCGUCGGAUCAAACCGAUAUUAAUCGCACGGUUUUCCUUGAUCCUUUAGGUCAGUGGAGCGUGGUCCACGAAACGGGUCCGAUUUGGACACUGUAGCUGGAGGGGCGCCCUAAGGACUUGGGCGGGCGCCCUAUCCCUGAGUCCUCUCGGCCUUUGCUUCGUUCCCGUGGCUUCUGGAGUCUUCUAGAUGAUAGAAAAUUGCACGGCACGUUAAUAUCUCUAUGUAAACCCAACGUGUGGGCCUUUCUUCCGUAUUUCCUGAUAACCCCCUGCAGAAAUAGACAAACACCAAAACUCAUGGAAUUCUGUCAGAUAAAACCCUAAGUCUGGGUGUUGAUUGCAUUUAGAUCCUUUUCCAUGAUUAGUUGAUGGUUAAAUGUGAGCAUUAAGGACCGUCAACAAUGCUCGCUGUUCUCUGGUCAGGCCUUCGUACAGGGUUUGGAAGAAUCGGCUGACCUGGUCUGCAUUGCCCCCUGUACCGGGCAAAACUAUGGCAGCCUCGCCAAAGUUUAGAGGAGGGCGAGUUGCCGAUUCUUCUUCAUCCAGUUCAUAGUCCUCGGCUAUAUCCCUGGGGAGGCGCUGUGCGAAGAGGUCAAACUCAAGACGCUUGUGCAUGUGGAGGCUGAGCCACAUGUUGAUAAACCACCAGGGACCCCCAAGUUGCCGAUGGACUGGCCGAGCAGGUGUUUCCUGGUUACUUGAUGAAGGAGGUGGUAAGCCGCGCCAAGAAGGUAUCGGUCAAGGGGAAACCGGCCACCAUUGGCUAUUCUUUCUGCUGCUGCUAGGUACACGGAAGUUGGUCCUGCCGAUCGACCACAAAAUACAAAUUUGUCCAACCACAUGUUUAGGAAACUGGUCUGUUCCUUUAUGUUAACAGGGCCUGUUCGUUUGUAUUUUUGGAUAUAUCCUGACCAACCGCCGAUGGAGCGAGUUUCUACCUUAGCACUGGGGUUGGUAUCAAAAAAGUGGGUGCUAUCGGCAGAAGAUACAUCUAGGCCGGUGAGCAUAACCACAUCGACAAGUGUAGGGGAAGCAGGGCCGUGGCCAAAGACAAAGGCAUUGAGUGUGUCUGACCAGAAAUAUGAUGUAGCUAUCAACAGUGACUCAUUCCUAUGCAUAUCGACAAUGGACAACCUGAUGCAUUGGUCCAGUUUUCUCUCGCCCCACUAGACUUCAUUUGAGUGGCUGACUCUUAAAAACCAAUCCUUCCAUCCCACGGUAGGACUAGGCCAGGAACGGAAGGUAUCCUUCCGCAGAUCCAGAGAGAAAUUCUCAGCUCUGAAGGGGAUUCUAUUUGUUUCUGCGUUAAUAAAAUCGGUGGGAUCUGGAUCCCCUAACGGACCAAGACAUUGAAGAUGUGGUUGAUCGGUAGAGAUGACAAUUUUGUUGGACAGAUCCUAAUGGUUUUGAGAGUAAAAAGAAGAACAAAAGAAAAAAAAGAAUAAGAAUGUUCAGUAAAAUAAAUUGCGGAUAAACAGAGAUAUGGCAAAAAGUACAGGAAGAAGGGUGAUGAACUGACCUUAGGAACGGUGAAGUUGAUGGCCAUUUCCUCGCAAGGAAGGAGAUUGAAGACUUCAAGAUUGGUGGAGAAAAGCCUUCGCUGGAGUUCUUAGAGCUCUCGAACAGCGUCGCCGCCAGAAAAGUAGAGUUGGGGCUGUAGAAUGAUGUCAUGGAGAAGGAGUACCCGAGAAGGAACUAUUAAUAGGACAAAAUGGGCAAGGGUAAAUCUGACUUAUCACUUUGCCGUAUCCGUGAAAUCUGAGGAUACUCAGGAAGAUAUUGUUGACACUUGCUAACACCACUUGAAUACUAGGUUGUCAUCCCCAGCAUGGCACUAGAGUGUACUAUGGUAUUUAUACGCACACAGAUAAUCCGCAAGCGCACGGAUACCGUUGAAGCUUUUACCCGGUUAAAGGUUUUAUCGUAUCCACACGGAAACGGUAGAACCAACUACGCUCUAACUUAACCAAUAUAGAUAGAUAAGUGUAAAUAGGAAAGAUGGUAGAAUUGAAUAAGAACAAUAUUAAAGAUAAGAUAACAAUGGGUAAUAAUAUGAGAAUAGAGAGUAGAGCAAUCUAGUAUAUGGGCGAUGGUAGCAGAAUAGAGAGAAUAACUAUGGUUUCUCUACUUCAAAGGGGUAUGUCUAUGUUUGGGACGAACCACGUGAUAAGAGUACACCACAAAGGAUGUUUAUCCUUAGGCCGAUGAACCCUACCCGUCCUGCUAACGAGAGGUGGACUACAGAGGACCAACGUAACUGUCACCUACGCGGCCUACCACACGAUCCAGCUAGACAGGGGAUAUCCACAAGUAAUCUAGGUCUAAGCACCACGCUUACACCUAUACUACAACUCUCACCUAUAGCGUCCUAUAGAUUAAAGUACUCAAAAGAGUUGUGAACCAGAACAUACAUGAUUAGUAAUUGCAUAAUGAAUUAGAAGUAGAUUACCAGAGUCAUCCCAUGAGCAAGCUUGAUUAGAGCUUGAUCGUGACGAAGUACAACCGGAGGAAGAACCGACAGGCCGGCCUCUCCUCCAAUCCUCCCUCGCUCUCCAUCUUGCUACUAUCUAGAUCUACUCUAGUUCAGAGAAGAGAGGAGAGCUCUCAUCUCUAAACCCUAGCUUUUGCUCUGUCUAUGAAUAAUGAAUAAUGAAUAAUGAUCAAGGGGUGCCUCCUCCAGGGGCCAGGGGGUCUGGUUAUAUAGUCCCCUCAAGUGAACCUGGGCCGUCGGAUCAAACCGACAUUGAUUGAACGGUUAUUCUUAAUCCUUUAGGUCGGUGGAUAUCUCCCGAGAGAAAGAGUCCUGAUUGGGCUCCAAGUCAGGGCGGGCGCCCAGGGCAGGAGGGCGGGCGCCCUGCCUCUGGCCCCGUUCGGCCUCGGCUUCCUUCCCAUGGCUUCUGGAGUCUUCUAGAUGUAAGAUAAUUGUGCGGCACAUUAAUAUCUUUAUGUAAUCCCGACGUGUGGGCCUUUCUUCCGUAUUUCCUGAUAACCCCCUGCAGAAAUAGACAAACACCAAAACUCAUGGAAUUCUGUCAGAUAAAACCCUAAGUCUAGAUGUUGAUUUCAUUUGGAUCCUUUUCUUUGUUUAUUUGAUAAUUAAAUUUGAUACUUAAGGACCGUCAACAAACUCCCCCAAGCUUACCUCUUGCUCGUCCCUGAGUAAGGAUAGACUCAGCAAUGGAUCAGAAGUUGUUGCAAUAUCUUAAAAAUUUGACGGUACACAUGCUUUUAAAUAAGAUCUCAUCUCUGAGUUAGAGUAAACUGUCAAGAACUAAAACUUACUUUAUCUUUCACCAUGGGACUUGUAACCGUCACUUCUGUCUUGAGUAGUUAAAAGAUAGAACAGUCUAGCCAAGUGCCAUGUCUCUUAUUCUUGAUCAGCUAUAGCUCUGGAGUUUUUGCAGAUUUUCAAAUAAAACUCAGAGAUUCCUUGGAUGACUCUCUAAAUAUCUCUUUUGUGGUAUUUCUGGAUCCUUACCAAGGUAGUGAUGGUAUAUGCCUUCUCUCAAGAUAUGUGGUAUUUGUGGUAUAGGCAUAGUGACAUUGCCUUCUCUCUCACCCUACUCUAAUAAGGCUUUAAUAUCUGGAGCUCAUAGGUGGGAGAUAAAGUAUACAUACUUACAAGACAUUUAUUGUAUAGUCAAACCAUGGAUCCAAAGAAACAAAUCAAUAAGCCAAAUCAAGAUGUGCAUGUGUGGCGAAUGAAUGGUGUAUGGUGAUGAUGGUGAUAACAAUGGUGAAAGUCUAAUUCUACUUUUGCUCUUUUGAGGGGAUACAUACCUUCCUUGCUUUUUGAAACUUUAUGAGGAGAAUGAAAUGCUCUUAUUUUUCUUUCCUCUUAGGUGGGUAUCUUGUACCCCUAAUUCUACUGUCGGACACUUGUCCAUUUUUACCUCUCGUCUCACUUUUUCUUUCUUUCGAGGUUCCGGGCACUUGCCCCUUUUUAUUUCCUCGUUUAUUUAUUUAUUUUUCUUUUUUUUCUCUUUUCUUUUUUUUCUUUUCAGAGCACUCAUCUCUUGAGAUAAUAUAGCAAGUGGUAGUAGCAAGAUAACUUGAGCAUUUAUUUCACAAGGGAAAACAGAAAUAUUUUUGGCUAUUCUCUCCCGGAUUAGGAGUAGAAUAUUUUUGGGUGGUUCUAGAGAUGGACAUGGAUGGAUAUAUGUGGAUGGUACUUCCGGAGUAGAAGUAGCAUAUAUGAGUGAACGUGCAAGUGAAUCUUGAUUUAACCACAUGACAAGCUCCUAAGGGUCUACACAGCUUGAUCACACUCAAUGCUCAUAAGCAGUAAAUAAUAAAUGUGUGGCUCAAAGUCUAGCAAGCAUGUAUAUAUGGCUGUGGUAGGAAUUUAAACUCUCAUCAUACAGGAACUCAUCAUGCAAUAUUUUAAAGAUUUUUCAAAGAUAAAAUUCUCCAGAAUUCUAGCAUCUCUAGAAACAGAUAAACAGCAGCUCAACCUUCCCAUAUCAUAUCCGUUAACAACUUAGAUUUCAGAUCAAGUUUUCAUCCCACAAGUUUAGAUCUAGAGCAAGCUUUAAAUUAUAACAGUUAUGUCUAAACUUGAGAGAGAACUUCAAAUUUGCAAAUUAGACAGGGCAACUAUUCAUCAUAUCCAUGCUAGAGUUUUAUUAUUAAGAUUCAGAUUAGCAUAGCCACUUUAUUUAUUUAUUAAACACACUAAGCAAAAGAUAUAUAUAUAAGCACAAAAUCUUUAUUUGGUUUUUCAUAGUUUAUAUAUUUUAAUAUUCUAAUAUAAUAUAAGUAUAAAGAUAGGUAGAAAUACUUAGCGAGAUAAAUGGAGUGCUCUCCCCCAAGCUGAAUUUUGAUGGAAUUUCUCUUGAUCUAGCUAGCAGGUGGCAGAGGUGUAUUUGAAAGUCAGCAGCAUUCUGACAGCGAUUAGAAUGUCCUCCGUCUGCUAGUCUUCUUGAUUCUUAAAUUCUGUGGAGCUCAAAUAGACAACAAAGCUUGUGGAACUAAUUAAGUGUUAGCAUAAACAUCUAGCCUUCAUCAUGUUGAGCUUCCUCAAUAAAUAUUACUCCCUGUUUUUAUAUUUUUAUUUUAUAAAGCAGAAAAGAAAUAUUUAUUUUAUUUUUAUGCCACCACAGUGUUAUGGGUUUUAUGCCACUCGUAUACUCACAUGGGGCUUAGUAUUUUUUAACAUUUUUAUUUUCUUUUCAAGAUAGCAUGAUUUACUAAUAAUCUAUUUAAGGAAAGUAAAUAAUUAAAGGGAAAAGGGAAUGCAGAAAGGAUAAAUAUGGAUAACUACCGAUCUUACCUUUCGGCGAGGGUUCAAUAUUUUAAGUCUUCUUAACAAGACUUCUCACCGUGUUCAUUCUUUAGGUGCGUCAUUUGAUUCAGGUGCGGACCUUGACGUCUGCACCUCUUCGUUUGCCCAGCAGUGGCGUUGGCAGUAUCCUUCUCAGUGUGUUUGUGCUCGUAGAUCCAGGUCCUUCACUUGGUAGAGUCUGAGAGUUAUAAAACUCCUCCGUGUUUUGCUCGAAGUGUACCUGCUCAUAGAGACAAGGCAGAGAUCAAGUGCAUGGGUCCUGUUGGUGGAAAGCACCAACAGAACCUAAAGUGUAUUUGUUCUUCUCUAACCCUAAGCAUAGUGAGCAAGACAAAGUUGAUGGAUGAAAAGUUCAUGAGUGUAACACUUAUAACAUUUGUCAGAUCAUAUCGCUCAACCUUAUGGAAAGAUAAUCUAUGUAUGUAUAUGUCUUUUUCUUUAUAUCUCUCAAUGAU
rnacentral:lncRNA from 1 species